rnacentral:rRNA from 1 species
ACGGCUCACCAAGGCGACGAUCUUUAACUGGUCUGAGAGGAUGAUCAGUCACACUGGAACUGAGACACGGUCCAGACUCCUACGGGAGGCAGCAGUAGGGAAUAUUGCACAAUGGAGGAAACUCUGAUGCAGCGACGCCGCGUGAGUGAUGAAGGCCUUCGGGUCGUAAAGCUCUGUCGCAGGGGAAUAACACAAUGAAUGUACCCUGUAAGAAAGGAUCGGCUAACUUCGUGCCAGCAGCCGCGGUAAGACGAGGGAUCCUAGCGUUGUUCGGAAUUAUUGGGCGUAAAGCGGAUGUAGGUGGCUUUGUAAGUCAGAUGUGAAAGCCCAGGGCUCAACCCUGGAAGUGCAUUUGAUACUGCGAAGCUUGAGUGUCGGAGAGGUUACUAGAAU